UCGGAUAUGGUGUAACGGCUAACAUUGCCGCCUUUCAUCCUUUUGUAUGCGUAACCGUACCCUUUCGCGGCAGCUCGGGGUUCGAUUCCCCGUAUCCGAA
rnacentral:tRNA from 1 species